rnacentral:rRNA from 1 species
UGGGGAAUAUUGCACAAUGGGCGAAAGCCUGAUGCAGCAACGCCGCGUGAGGGACGACGGCCUUCGGGUUGUAAACCUCUUUUAGCAAGGAAGAAGCGAAAGUGACGGUACUUGCAGAAAAACGCGCCGGCUAACUACGUGCCAGCAGCCGCGGUAAUACGUAGGGCGCAAGCGUUAUCCGGAAUUAUUGGGCGUAAAGAGCUCGUAGGCGGUUUGUCGCGUCUGCUGUGAAAACCCGAGGCUCAACCUCGGGCCUGCAGUGGGUACGGGCAGACUAGAGUGCGGUAGGGGAGAUUGGAACUCCUGGUGUAGCGGUGGAAUGCGCAGAUAUCAGGAAGAACACCGAUGGCGAAGGCAGAUCUCUGGGCCGUAACUGACGCUGAGGAGCGAAACGGGUGGGGAGCAAACAGGCUUAGAUACCCUGGUAGUCCACCCCGUAAACGUUGGGAACUAGUUGUGGGGUCCAUUCCACGGAUUCCGUGACGCAGCUAACGCAUUAAGUUCCCCGCCUGGGGAGUACGGCCGCAAGGCUAAAACUUGAAAGGAAUUGACGGGGUCAUAGCUGUUUCCU